CCUACGGGGGGCAGCAGUCGAGAAUCAUUCACAAUGGGCGAAAGCCUGAUGGUGCAACGCCGCGUGGAGGAUGACGGCCUUCGGGUUGUAAACUCCUGUCAUCUGGGAGUAAUCCUUGUUCGUUAAUAGCGUGCAAGGUUGAUAGUACCAGAAGAGGAAGGGACGGCUAACUUCGUGCCAGCAGCCGCGGUAAUACGAAGGUCCCAAGCGUUGUUCGGAAUCACUGGGCGUAAAGCGUGCGUAGGCGGCGAGGUAAGUCAGAUGUGAAAUCUCCGGGCUCAACCCGGAAACUGCAUCCGAUACUGCCUUGCUAGAGUAAUGGAGGGGUAGCUGGAAUUCUCGGUGUAGCAGUGAAAUGCGUAGAUAUCGAGAGGAACACUCGUGGCGAAAGCGAGCUACUGGACAUUUACUGACGCUGAGGCACGAAGGCCAGGGUAGCG
rnacentral:rRNA from 1 species